GUUUCGAGACCAGUCACUGACAGUGUUCUUGAGUCUUGUUCCCGCCGUUCGAGCCCGAGAACAAGAAACCCGUGUCAAGCAGAACAGGGCGCCCGAACUCAACCAUGGUCCUCCAGCCCCCAUCUGUCUUCUUAAAGUUAUUUCGCCGAUGUAUGGGGGUGCACUUAAGCUCAGGGCAGAUAUGGCGGAUAACGCUGGCGGCGAGUAAUUAUGAUUAUCAGAUGGUUGAUUUCAUAGAAUGGACUACGUAUACAUCUCAGUGCUUGUGUAGCAUGAAAACAAGAAGUGACACAACAGGAAUCACAGAAUUGCUAUCAAACUUGCGUGAACAGAGACUAAACAAUGAAUUUUAGUACUGAGAACAAAUGACAACCAAUACAUUUUGUAUUCCCACCUUUUGUUACUGCAAUAAAAUAGUGGAAUGAAGCCACCUCUAUGUAAACCAUGAGUAGAACCGGCCGAGACAGUUACUCCAGUCGACCAAUCGACUCCCUGGAUUCCUUUGAGCAUCUUGAAGGCAUUAUAAACAGCCAGUCGGAUGUUGAAUUUGGAGCUGACCUUCCCUUUGAUGAAUUCCCUCCAGAAUUCCAUCUUCACCCAGAUGAUUUCUCACUGGAUGAUCUGCAUGGCCAUAGAACUAUCCAGGAAGAGUGCUUGACCAAUGAAUCCCUAAGGGGUGAGAUCCUACAAUUUGAUAAUGAGCAUGAAACAAGUGGCCUUCUGAAUGAAAGUGAGCUUUUGAACAAUGUCGAUCGGUGUAGUGAUUCAGGAAGCAAGUGUCCCAGUGACAGUUUUCUUAAAGAAGAGAACCUCUCCUUGCAGGGAUCUUCCACAGACGUGUUGCAGAGGUACAUGGAAGCCACCCCAAGGCUUGGCACCCCCCCACUGGAACAUAUAUACAGCAAUACAUCUGUCAAUGGACUCAGUGACGAAUCUUCCAGGCACUCAGAUGACGUUUUUAACCAUCAUGAAUCACUUCAUAACAGCAAUGAUGAGCAAUACUUGGAGAGUUUACCCCCAGAAAAAUCAGAUGAAAUUGGAAAUUGCAGUAGGGACAUGAGCAAUGGAUGUAGUGAUGGAGGUAGUAUGGCAGUAGAUUCAAAUGAUCUAUCAGAUGGGGCUUCCAUGGAACUGAACAAAACUGUCGUUACUGUAGAUAGCCAUUUCCCUGGAAAACCUUCUGCAGCAGCUGCAGAAGAAAACUUUGGAGAUGAUCCAGCUGAUGGUAAAGAUAGUGAUUCUGCCAGUAUGAGCAUUGGUCAGUUUGUGCCCAAUGCUGUAAACAGAAAUCAUAUUCAGAGACCUUUGGGAAAAAUAGUUAACUGCUCCUCCCAAAAGAAUGAGAGAGACUUUGUCACACCUUCUGAGCUGAAAGAAUCCCACCGAGGAUCUGUGGCUAGUACAUCUGCCCGAUCAUCUUUUAGGAACUCACAAAGGAUCUCAACCGCAAGCUCCUCACAAAGGGACUGCAACUCUCCAAGGUAUUCUCAAAGGUCUGAGGACCUCUCACACCACUCAAGACACAAACAGUCUUCCUCAAAUAGCCCUGUGGUUCCUAGACUAGAACUGCACAGGGCUUCAACACCUAGCAGUGUAAACAGUCUGUCCUCUGAACCGUCUAAGCUUGACCUCUCACUCAGACUGGAGGAAGAAUCCAAGACUAGGCAACAAGCUAACGAGCUCAUUGAGCAACUCCAAAAAAACUAUGAUGAGUUGCUUGGUAAAUAUGCACGGGCAGAGAACACAAUAGACCUGUUGAAACUGGGGGCCAGAGUUAAUCUGUAUGGAGAUAAUCCAGCACCAAGGCAGAGUCUACAGGGGACACUUUCUCCUUUGCAGAGGCCCAGCGCUGUCAUCUUUGGUCAUCCUCAAAAGGCAACUAUUUUGUCAUCAAGUUCCCAUGUUUCUGAAGGUCAAACAGGAAGACAGCCCGCCAGUCAGACUGGGCGCUCUACAAUAGAUAUGCAGACAAAUAACAACAAUGUGCAUGUAGUGGGAACUACAAGAACUACACCCACCGAGAUAACAAGGGUGUCUAAUUCUAGUGGUUUUGCAGCAGGUGACGGCAGUCUGAUGGCACUGAUAUUCCAAGUGAAGAACCAACAGGAAGAGAUUGAUUCCUUUGGGCUACUCCUUCAAGAGGAGCAGCUUCCUCUUGAAGAACAAAAAGCAGGAGUGGAUCGGCUGAGGACAGAUCAGGGCAAGUUGGAAGCAGACUACAUGCAAACUAAGGAAGAGUAUAGUGCCCUCCAGCGUAGAAAUAGUCUACUCAGCCAAGGCCCAGAGAUGACUUUCGACCCAGACAGGACACUAGAGGGUGAAAUCUUCCAGCUGGGUAUGAAACUUGAUGAUAUAACCGAGAUAGUCCAGAACAAUCUAUGCAAUAACCCACCGACCCUACAGUCCAAGCCUCAUACAAGUCAGCCUCAGGGAUUGAUCAGCAAAGAUAAGGAAUUACAAGAAACACUUCAUCAGGAUUUGCAAAGGCAGUUCCAAUACUCAAGGAAAGAGAAGACAGGAGGUUCAACAAAAGAAGAGGAUGAACAAGAUGUUGCUGGAUUUAGUCCUGAUAAACCUGGCAGUGGAAAUUGUUUUUCACCAAACAAGACCCAGGAAGAACUGCCUUCCCAUGGGAAUGCAUCUUCUGUCUUUCCACCACCGAACCUGUCUAGACCAACCACUGGCGAAGGAAUAGAGAGGAAGUCAAGAAGCAAAGUUGCAACCGAUGUGGCCAAGGGACAGAGACAGCCGACACAGAGUAAACGUCCCUUACCAAGGCCAACAUUACUUACCAGUACCAAUAAGAUGCCAAAUCAUGAGUUCCAUGGACCUACAGGCAAUAGGCAGCGUGCUAGUGACACCAAAAUGAAAGGUACCCCACAGCAACAUCUGGUUGAAAACAGCAUCAUGUCCCCAGAAGCAGACAGUGGGUUCAUGGGAUCAGAGAGCAGCCGACAGUCCAAUCAGAAUGGAAGAUCUGGCUCUGACAGUCACAACCAGCUGAGGAAACCUGGGAAUAUGUUUAGCCUUCAGUCAAAUAAGUUACCAAGAGGUCAGAGGUCCCCACCACUGGUUAACAGGAGGCUACCAGGAGGCUGGCAGAGCCCACAGUUCUCUGACAACAUCAGUGAACAGGAUGAAGACAUUGAGGAUUUGAGCAUUCAUUCUGAAGGAGCUGCCAAGAGAAGACAGGGUACAGUAGAAGAGGUGCUACCUGCAAAAAGUACAUCACAGAAGACAAGGAAGUCACUUGACAAACCAAAGCAGAGAUCAGCCAUAGAUACACCUGACAGAAAACGACCAGCAGCUUUGCGACAUCUUCAUGACAAGCAAAGAGAAAAGCAGCAUGCCUUAGAGACCCAAUAUACCAUGGACAGACAGUUGAUUUACCCAGAUGGGAGAGUAGGCACAAAAGAUCCUCCAAUGAGUUGGGAUGACCACAGCAGUGGCUCUUCAUCAUACCCAGAGUCUGUCUUUAACAAGCAUUUGCACAAGGAGUGUGCACAUUCGAAGCAGGGUAAUCCUAAGAAAGUUAUAAGAAUGGGAGUCAGUCCUGCUAGAAAUCCAGUCAGUGUUUCAAGGGACAGGAUGAGAAUAGUCCCGGAGCUCCAGAGGGAACAUGACUCUGAAUCAGACAUGACAAGAAGUAGGGGGAAGGCUGAAGCCAUUUGGGGCCUUCAAGACGAUAUAGAGCAAUUGAAACAUCAGGUGGCCAAAAUGAGGGGCCCUGAAAAAAGCCCAAGACACUCCUCAGCUGAGGUCAAACCACAUCACCCAAGUUCUAGCCUCAGAAAGACCCAGCUAGACUCCACUGAUUCUAAGCCUGGCAGUGGCCAGUCAGAGAUCUUGAGAGCCUUGCAGAAUGAGAUUGAUGAUUUAAGGAGCCAAGUCAAUGAACGAGAUGAAUCACCCUUAAUACACAAUUUGCCUCCCUCACAGACAUUUUUGCGAGAAACAGAGAUGAAUGAAUAUCAAGGUGGAUGUCACACAGACCCACCACCUCCUAGAGACAGGUUGCGAGAGACCCUCAGGCAAGCAUACAUUCCCAACAGUGGUCAUCAUUCCUUCACAAGGAGCCCCAUUAAGUCAUUCUGGUCCUCGAGUUCGCCUUACCAGUCUAGGUCACAUAACCCUGUGCCCAAGUUUGAAAGCACACCCUUCCACAGGAGUCCUUCCUUCAUUCCUGAAUCCAUGCCCUCUUCUGUAUCCCUUCCAGGGCCUCAUCAGUUCUCACAUUUUCAAUCGGGCUUUGAAAUGUCUCCAGACCAAAGGGUUACUUCCUCCCCUGCAUACACCUUUAAACAGAAACCAUGCCCACUGUGCAAUGGAAGUGGAGUGCACACCCAUGCAGAAUAUUCCCAGCCUCAGAAUUUGCACCCUAACUCAGUAGUAGUUCCCUCACAACUUGCUGGUUCAGCACCCAGUGAAGCAAACCAGUAUCCUGACACUGUUGCUGGAGCUGGCCAGAACCAACCUGCCUACUACCCAAAUCCAUCACAGGGUCAUAUGCAAACUUGUAGGACUGCAUGUCAGAGUCAGACUCAGUCUUCCAACUCGGAGCAGCAAUCCACCUUUAACCCUAACCAGCAAGUAUUAAAUGAACAAACCAUCCAAGGUCCACAAGCAGUUUUCAGUUCUCAGCCUACAUCAAAUCCAGUGUUUAACCAACCACAACCAGUAAUUACCAAACCACAACUGGUGCAUAACCAGCAACAUCAGGUGCUAAGUCAGUUGCAGCCAUCAUCUAAUCAGUCACACGCAAUGUUACAUCAGCUAAAGCCAAUUAUAAUCCCACCUGCACAAGCCCCUGUGAAUGAAAGCCUUGGCCAGACAACCUCAGUGCAAGUGCCAGUCUCAACACAAGCCCAAAUUUUUCUCUCCCCACUGGGUAAUUAUGUACCCUUGGUCAGUAUUCCGGUUAAUGCUGGUGUUCCAGUUAAUGCUACCCACCAGGACACUAGUGAGAAGCAGAGUGAAACUAGGAGGGACUGGGUACCAAGGACAUCAGUUAAUGGACAGAAAUGCCCCAGUAAGGCUCAAGAACCAGGAGGAACCAUCAUCUACAUCACACCUACCAAGAGGAGAGGCAGGUACUAUGUUCUGAAUGAUGAAGACACUGACAGUACUGGCAUAGAGGAGGAGUUUUAUUUCAAGAGUACUAUACAAAGUGGAUCAACAUGAAAUUCACUGGGGGAAGCAGUAGCACAAAGGUUUCAUCAUUAAUGCCUAAAACCCAAGAUUCCAAGCUUGCUCAUCGUGCCAACCAGGAUCUGGAAGCAGCAG
rnacentral:misc_RNA from 1 species